rnacentral:lncRNA from 1 species
UCUGUCCCUGGGUAACCAGAACGCAGGUUCAGCCUCCCUCAGCGACCAUCUGCAACAGCUCAGCAGAGGCAUCAGGGAGUUUGGCUGGACCCAAACCAGGGACUUCUCCCAGCGUUAUCUUGAAUGGACACUCAGCAACCCUCAUGGCUGGACAGAUGAAGAGACUGACGU